rnacentral:rRNA from 1 species
UACGGGGGGGGCAAGCGUUGUUCGGAAUUACUGGGCGUAAAGCGCACGUAGGCGGCUUGUUAAGUCGGGUGUGAAAUCCCUGGGCUCAACCCAGGAAGUGCACUCGAAACUGGCGAGCUUGAAUAUGGAAGAGGGUCGCGGAAUUCCCGGUGUAGAGGUGAAAUUCGUAGAUAUCGGGAGGAGCACCAGUGGCGAAGGCGGCGACCUGGGCCAAUAUUGACGCUGAGGUGCGAAAGCGUGGGGAGCAAACAGG